rnacentral:rRNA from 1 species
AACGAACGCUGGCGGCAUGCCUAACACAUGCAAGUCGAACGAGACCUUCGGGUCUAGUGGCGCACGGGUGCGUAACGCGUGGGAACCUGCCCUUAGGUUCGGAAUAACUCCCCGAAAGGGGUGCUAAUACCGGAUAAUGUCUUCGGACCAAAGGUUUAUCGCCUUUGGAUGGGCCCGCGUUGGAUUAGCUAGUUGGUAGGGUAAAAGCCUACCAAGGCGACGAUCCAUAGCUGGUCUGAGAGGAUGAUCAGCCACACUGGGACUGAGACACGGCCCAGACUCCUACGGGAGGCAGCAGUGGGGAAUAUUGGACAAUGGGCGAAAGCCUGAUCCAGCAAGGCCGCGUGAGUGAUGAAGGCCUUAGGGUUGUAAAGCUCGUUUACCAGGGAUGAUAAUGACAGUACCGGGAGAAUAAGCUCCGGCUAACUCCGUG